UACGAAGGGGGCUAGCGUUGCUCGGAAUUACUGGGCGUAAAGGGCGCGUAGGCGGACAGUUAAGUCAGAGGUGAAAGCCCAGGGCUCAACCCUGGAAUUGCCUUUGAUACUGGCUGUCUUGAGUACGGGAGAGGUGAGUGGAACUCCGAGUGUAGAGGUGAAAUUCGUAGAUAUUCGGAAGAACACCAGUGGUGAAGGCGACUCACUGGCCCGUUACUGACGCUGAGGCGCGAAAGCGUGGGGAGCAAACAGG
rnacentral:rRNA from 1 species